UACGAAGGGGGCUAGCGUUGCUCGGAAUCACUGGGCGUAAAGGUGCGUAGGCGGGUCUUUAAGUCAGGGGUGAAAUCCUGGAGCUCAACUCCAGAACUGCCUUUGAUACUGAAGAUCUUGAGUUCGGGAGAGGUGAGUGGAACUGCGAGUGUAGAGGUGAAAUUCGUAGAUAUUCGCAAGAACACCAGUGGCGAAGGCGGCUCACUGGCCCGGAACUGACGCUGAGGUGCGAAAGCGUGGGAGCAAACAGG
rnacentral:rRNA from 1 species